CCUUUUGAACUCACCACUACAAGACUUCUAGUAAAAAACGCCAAUUAAUUAUGGUAUCAUCAAGCUUACAAAAUACAAACGUAACUUCUAUACUCCUCCAUCAUUGGAUGAACAAAUGCAAAAUAUGAUGCUAAGUAUAUAUUGCUCUCUAUAUUAAUAAGCGUCUUUCGAAAUGUCAAAUCGAUCUAAAACUAAUUACGACAAUAAUAGAUGUUCCAGGCGAUUUUACCAUCAGUCCCGAAACGUACGCGUAGCUCAUUUGCAACUUCAUUCCAUGCCACACGCUCGUCGGCCUUACCGCAACACCAGGUGGCCUCUGUUUGAAGAUGGGGUAAAGGAACGACGACUUCCCCCUGCCCCAUAAAUAUUGUUCGCCCAGCAACCCUCAUAUAUGUCGGACCACGACACCUGUCCAGUGUGUGUUCUACAAAAUCGCACCAUCGACCUUCUGUGAGGGGGAACAUGAACAAAAAACUGCAUACCAGUAUGAUGGCAAUCAAUGGAUUGCUAAGCACCUUCAUUUUGGAAUCUGCGGAUCGAGUCGAUGUUGUCAAAAUAGAACGUCGUGGCAGCU